rnacentral:rRNA from 1 species
UACGGAGGGUGCGAGCGUUGUCCGGAAUCACUGGGCGUAAAGGGCGCGUAGGCGGCCGUGUAAGUCACCUGUGCAAUCCCGGUGCUCAACGCCGGGGCCGCAGGUGAGACUGCAGGGCUAGAGCUCGGUAGAGGCGAGUGGAAUUCCCGGUGUAGCGGUGGAAUGCGUAGAUAUCGGGAAGAACACCGGUGGCGAAGGCGGCUCGCUGGGCCGAUGCUGACGCUGAGGCGCGAAAGCGUGGGGAGCAAACAGG